rnacentral:rRNA from 1 species
CCUACGGGAGGCAGCAGUGAGGGAUAUUGGUCAAUGGGGGAAACCCUGAACCAGCAACGCCGCGUGAGGGAAGACGGUUUUCGGAUUGUAAACCUCUGUCCUCUGUGAAGAUAAUGACGGUAGCAGAGGAGGAAGCUCCGGCUAACUACGUGCCAGCAGCCGCGGUAAUACGUAGGGAGCGAGCGUUGUCCGGAUUUACUGGGUGUAAAGGGUGCGUAGGCGGCCCUGCAAGUCAGAAGUGAAAGGCAGGGGCUUAACCCCUGAACUGCUUUGGAAACUGCCAUGCUAGAGUGCUGGAGAGGUAA